rnacentral:rRNA from 1 species
UACGAAGGGGGCUAGCGUUGUUCGGAAUUACUGGGCGUAAAGGCGCGUAGGCGGCCAUUCAAGUUAGGUGUGAAAGCCCUGGGCUCAACCUAGGAAUUGCACUUGAUACUGUUUGGCUUGAGUUCGGGAGAGGUGAGUGGAAUUCCCAGUGUAGAGGUGAAAUUCGUAGAUAUUGGGAAGAACACCAGUGGCGAAGGCGGCUCACUGGACCGACACUGACGCUGAGGCGCGAAAGCUAGGGGAGCAAACGGGG